rnacentral:rRNA from 1 species
CGUAGGGUGCGAGCGUUAAUCGGAAUUACUGGGCGUAAAGCGUGCGCAGGCGGUUUAGUAAGACAGGCGUGAAAUCCCCGGGCUCAACCUGGGAACUGCGCUUGUGACUGCUAAGGCUAGAGUACGGCAGAGGGGGGUGGAAUUCCACGUGUAGCAGUGAAAUGCGUAGAGAUGUGGAGGAACACCAAUGGCGAAGGCAGCCCCCUGGGUCGAUACUGACGCUCAUGCACGAAAGCGUGGGUAGCAAACAGGAUUAGAUACCCUGGUAGUCCACGCCCUAAACGAUGUCAACUAGGUGUUGGGAGGGUAAAACCUUUUAGUACCGGAGCUAACGCGUGAAGUUGACCGCCUGGGGAGUACGGCCGCAAGGUUA